UUAAAUCUUGUGCAAGGUUUCAAUGGUUUUACAUUUCUAUCGUCACAGGAACCCCAAUGCAUUUAAGGGUUUGUCGCGUAAACUUGUCGAGUGUAAGUAGUGCGCGAAAAAGUGACGUUUAGUGUACAUUGUAUGGAGUUAUUCGCAUUAACGGAGGAGAUAGAGAGAGACUGAGGAGAUCUACGCAGAGCCCCGCAUGAGCCCCCAGUGGCCACCGUGGAGAGUUUUGUGAAGAAGUUGGGAUAUAAAAGAGAUUUUCCAAAAAUUCUGAGAUUUUGGAACUUCAAAUUUGCAGAAAUUGGAAGGAGGCGAUCAUACUAAAAUGGAACCUUUACCCAAAAUAUUAAUAGGGGAAAGCAGAAUCGAGUCAGUGAGCAGCGGACAAUCUAGGACAAAUUAAUCGUCACUCUCCUAAAACGUAUUAGAAAGAGUCAGGCCGUAGUAUAGAUUAGAUUAACUUAAUGAUUUACGCAGAUUUCAAAGACGAAAAGAAAAACAUAGGGUAAGUGUGCCAAAUUUCAGCAUAGUUACAUACAAGCGCCAAAGUCUCAAGUUUGAAAUGUAAUAUCUUUAAUAGAAAUUUAUUUUUUUCAUUCCUUCUACUUAAUCAGUAUUGUUUAGAACCUUGUAGACAGUUUACCGUCUUUAUUCACUUUAAAAUCAUUCUUAAUAUGUUUUAAAAUGAAUAAAAAUGUAGACAAAACUUUGGUGCCCUAUUUCGGCCACCUUCAUUCUCAUAGUUCCUUGCCCUUCGGAAAUUCUUCCAAUGUCUUUUUCACGCCAUCUCGUUUGUCGAAGCUACAUUUUUUGUUAUUCUUUUGCAUUGUAUAAUCUCUACAGUAUGUAAAAACUAAAAGUUCAUGAAAAUUCGAGGAACAAAAAAGGUGGCCGGAAUUGCAAGCUGACCGGAAUAUGGCACACUUACCCUAAUUAUUUUUAAGAUUUUCAACUAAAUAAAAAAAGUAUUAUUUUGAAUUAAACCCUUGAGCAUAUAAAAUCACAACA